rnacentral:pre_miRNA from 1 species
ACACGAGCGCCAGACUGGCAGUGGGGACAAGUUUAGGCCCUGAGGCGGAUUGAAAAAUGCCCCAAGGCCUGGGCCCACUUCUUGACUGGCCCCGUGACAAAC